rnacentral:rRNA from 1 species
CGGGUGAGGAAUACAUCGGAACGUGUCUUUAAGUGGGGGAUAACGCAUCGAAAGGUGUGCUAAUACCGCAUAAUCUCUGAGGAGAAAAGCAGGGGAUCGCAAGACCUUGCGCUUUUGGAGCGGCCGAUGCCUGAUUAGCUUGUUGGUAGGGUAAAAGCUUACCAAGGCUUCGAUCAGUAGCUGGUCUGAGAGGACGGCCAGCCACACUGGGACUGAGACACGGCCCAG